rnacentral:rRNA from 1 species
AUUGAACGCUAGCGGGAUGCCUUAUACAUGCAAGUCGAACGGAGUGGCGAACGGGUGAGUAAUGUAUCGGAACGUGCCCAGUAGCGGGGGAUAACUACGCGAAAGCGUAGCUAAUCACGCAGAGUAUUGGAGCGGCUGAUAUCGGAUUAGCCAGUUGGUGGGGUAACGGCUGACCAAGGCGACGAUCCGUAGCUGGUUUGAGAGGACGACCAGCCACACGGGGACGGAGACACGGCCCAGACUCCUACGGGAGGCAGCAGUGGGGACUUUUGGCCAAUGGGGGAAACCCUGAUCCAGCCAGCCCGCGUGUGCGAUGAAGGCCUUCGGGUCGUAAAGCCCUUUUGGCAGGAAAGCGGUACCUGCAGAAUAAGCACCGGCUAACUACGUGCCAGCCGCCGCGGUAAUUC